UCUCUCACACCAUCUCUUUCUUCUCUCCAUAUUGCCAUCAACACUUGAACAAAAGAAACCUUAUUAGCUCCCAUGGAAAAAUACCAACAAAUAGAAAAGGCAUGUUCAUGCAGACAAAUAUUGAAAUUUAACAUAGACAUGCACUAUGAAUUCAUAAAAAGUCCUAUUCUCGACCAUCAAAAGCAUCCCUACAAUGUAAUUG
rnacentral:lncRNA from 1 species